rnacentral:rRNA from 1 species
UACGUACCGUACGAACGUUAUUCGGAAUUACUGGGCUUAAAGGGUUUGUAGGCGGCCUUGUAAGUCAGGUGUGAAAGCCCUCGGCUCAACCGAGGAAUAGCGCUUGAUACUGCAAGGCUUGAGGGAGACAGGGGUAAGCGGAACUGAUGGUGGAGCGGUGAAAUGCGCAGAUAUCAGGAGGAACACCGAUGGCGAAGGCAGGUCUCUGGGCAUUAACUGACGCUGAGGAGCGAAAGCAUGGGGAGCGAACAGG